GACGAACGCUGGCGGCGUGCCUAACACAUGCAAGUCGAGCGGGGAUUUGGGGGGCUUGCUUUCUGAAUCCUAGCGGCGGACGGGUGAGUAACGCGUGAGCAACCUGCCUCAAACAGGGGGAUAACGCAUCGAAAGAUGUGCUAAUACCGCGUAAGACCACAGUACCGCAUGGUACAGAGGUCAAAGGAGCAAUCCGGUUUGAGAUGGGCUCGCGUCCGAUUAGCUAGUUGGUGAGAUAACAGCCCACCAAGGCGACGAUCCGUAGCUGGUCUGAGAGGAUGAUCAGCCACACUGGAACUGAGACACGGUCCAG
rnacentral:rRNA from 1 species